GAUGAACGCUGUCUACAGGCUUAACACAUGCAAGUCGAGGGGAAACGCCGGGGAAGCUUGCUUCCCCGGGCGUCGACCGGCGCACGGGUGAGUAACGCGUAUCCAACCUGCCUCUGACUGAGGGAUAACCCGUCGAAAGUCGGCCUAAUACCUCAUGGCAUCGUCUGCGGGCAUCCAACGACGAUUAAAGAUUUCAUCGGUCAGGGAUGGGGAUGCGUCUGAUUAGCUUGUUGGCGGGGUAACGGCCCACCAAGGCUACGAUCAGUAGGGGUUCUGAGAGGAAGGUCCCCCACAUUGGAACUGAGACACGGUCCAAACUCCUACGGGAGGCAGCAGUGAGGAAUAUUGGUCAAUGGGCGGGAGCCUGAACCAGCCAAGUAGAGUGCAGGAUGACGGCCCUAUGGGUUGUAAACUGCUUUUAGGCGGGGAUAAAGUGAGGGGCGUGGCAUUCAUUGCAGGUACCGCAUGAAUAAGGACCGGCUAAUUCCGUG
rnacentral:rRNA from 1 species